rnacentral:rRNA from 1 species
AUUGAACGCUGGCGGCAGGCCUAACACAUGCAAGUCGAGCGGAUGAAGGGAGCUUGCUCCUGGAUUCAGCGGCGGACGGGUGAGUAAUGCCUAGGAAUCUGCCUGGUAGUGGGGGAUAACGUCCGGAAACGGGCGCUAAUACCGCAUACGUCCUGAGGGAGAAAGUGGGGGAUCUUCAGACCUCACGCUAUCAGAUGAGCCUAGGUCGGAUUAGCUAGUUGGUGGGGUAAAGGCCUACCAAGGCGACGAUCCGUAACUGGUCUGAGAGGAUGAUCAGUCACACUGGAACUGAGACACGGUCCAGACUCCUACGGGAGGCAGCAGUGGGGAAUAUUGGACAAUGGGCGAAAGCCUGAUCCAGCCAUGCCGCGUGUGUGAAGAAGGUCUUCGGAUUGUAAAGCACUUUAAGUCGGGAGGAAGGGCAGUAAGUUAAUACCUUGCUGUUUUGACGUUACCAACAGAAUAAGCACCGGCUAACUUCGUG